rnacentral:misc_RNA from 1 species
GAUGAAGAACGCAGCGAAACGCGAUAAGUAAUGUGAAUUGCAGAAUUCAGUGAAUCAUCGAAUCUUUGAACGCACAUUGCGCCCCUUGGUAUUCCGAGGGGCAUGCCCGUUCGAGCGUCAUUAUACCCCUCAAGCCUAGCUUGGUGUUGGGGCCUGCUGUUACCGGCAGCCCUUAAAAUCAGUGGCGGUGCCAUCUGGCUCUAAGCGUAGUAAUACUUCUCGCUACAGGGUCCCGGUGGAUGCUUGCCAUCAACCCCUAAUUUUCUAUGGUUGACCUCGGAUCGGGUAGGGAUACCCGCUGAACUUAAGCAUAUCAAUAAGCGGAGGA